rnacentral:rRNA from 1 species
GAGUUUGAUCUUGGCUCAGGAUGAACGCUGGCGGCGUGCCUAAUACAUGCAAGUCGAGCGAACGGACGAGAAGCUUGCUUCUCUGAUGUUAGCGGCGGACGGGUGAGUAACACGUGGAUAACCUACCUAUAAGACUGGGAUAACUUCGGGAAACCGGAGCUAAUACCGGAUAAUAUUUUGAACCGCAUGGUUCAAAAGUGAAAGACGGUCUUGCUGUCACUUAUAGAUGGAUCCGCGCUGCAUUAGCUAGUUGGUAAGGUAACGGCUUACCAAGGCAACGAUGCAUAGCCGACCUGAGAGGGUGAUCGGCCACACUGGAACUGAGACACGGUCCAGACUCCUACGGGAGGCAGCAGUAGGGAAUCUUCCGCAAUGGGCGAAAAGCCUGACGGAGCAACGCCGCGUGAGUGAUGAAGGUCUUCGGAUCGUAAAACUCUGUUAUUAGGGAAGAACAUAUGUGUAAGUAACUGUGCACAUCUUGACGGUACCUAAUCAGAAGGCCACGGCUAACUACGUCG